GUUUUCUAGAGCUAUUUCACACUUAAUUAGUGCUGCUUACCUUUUUUAUGAUAUUUUUUCACUUGUUAAAUAUUCACUAGCGCCUUCACUUACUUGUUUUUUUUUUUCUUUGCACCAAGACAUCUACUAGAUGUGUGUUCCAUACUGCAGUGGAAACAUUGCAUUUACAACACAAUUGCAUUGUUUUAUAUUGCUGUAUUAAAACUAUACAGCCACUGCAUUUGUUAUUUAUGUAAUAACUUGCA